rnacentral:rRNA from 1 species
GACGAACGCUGGCGGCGUGCUUAACACAUGCAAGUCGAACGGAAAGGCCCUGCUUUUGUGGGGUGCUCGAGUGGCGAACGGGUGAGUAACACGUGAGUAACCUGCCCUUGACUUUGGGAUAACUUCAGGAAACUGGGGCUAAUACCGGAUAGGAGCUCCUGCUGCAUAGUGAGGGUUGGACAGUUUCGGCGGUUGGGGAUGGACUCGCGGCUUAUCAGCUUGUUGGUGGGGUAGUGGCUUACCAAGGCUUUGACGGGUAGCCGGCCUGAGAGGGUGACCGGCCACAUUGGGACUGAGAUACGGCCCAGAGUCCUAGGUGAGGCAGCAGUGUGGAAUAUGGCAUAAUGGGCGGAAGCCUGAUGCAGCAACGCCGCGUGCGGGAUGACGGCCUUCGGGUUGUAAACCGCUUUCGCCUGUGACGAAGCGGGAGGGAAGGUAAUGGGUAAAGAAGCACCGGCUAACUACGUG